GAAUAAUAUAGUUUUCGCCAGCAUGGUUAUACAGAGUACAGACCACGCACCGAGAAUUCCCUUGUUGUUUCUGCUUUUACAGUGCGACAUACCAACGCAGAAGGACAAGUACAUGUUUGGGUGCUUUUUUGGGGCCUGAUUGGUGAUCUUCUUAUCAGUUGGGACCGGAGACUGUGCCUUUAAAGAGAGCAGGUGUGUCUCCUGCAGAGUUGGGUGGAUCGCAAACCAGAAGAGCACUUUCUGUCUCACUGUUGCCACCUUCAACACACAUGCCGUCAGCCCGAGC
rnacentral:lncRNA from 1 species